UAGCUCAGUCAGUUGAGCGUGGCGCUAACAAUGCCAAGGUCAUGGGUUCGAUUCCCAU
rnacentral:tRNA from 1 species